UCUGAGUCGGAUUCGAAGACGUAGUUGGAGUUGGAGUCGGAGUUUGAGGCUUGGGAAGAGCUGGGAAGUGCUGGGAAGCGGCAAUAGCAACCUAAAUAUUUUAAUGCCCCGGCCACAUUGAUGGUUCGCUUUUUGCUGAUGAUGUUGCUGUUGCUUCUGCCGCUUCUGUGGCAAUUAACAUUUUUUGCGUGCACAAAUAUUUUUCGACUUGGGAGAAAGAAGGCAGUUGCAGCGGCAGAUGCACAUGAAAUUCACAACAGAAGCUGCUGCUUCUACUGCUGCUGCUGCAGUUGCAUGAAACUCAAACAAAUUAAACCUAAGCUUCUGCCGCUACUGUUGCGGCAAUUUAAAUGCCUAAACAAUAAUUUGUGCAUAAUUCUGGACGGGGCUUAUUGUUUUUGGUUAUUGCACGUAACCCAUCCCAGUCAUGCCACGUCGCGAUCUCUGCCAGCUGGCAAUUACGUUAUGCAAAUCUUUUUGGGCCAAUUAGAGCACUUCCCCUCCUGGUUCGGUUGGUCUUCGUCCAAGGAUCUUCAGCUGCAUGUGCAUGGGCGAUUGCCUUAACGAAGACAAAAGCCACAAUAUCCGUUUUCCAUUAGACGAACGCCGCCAUACAUUUUGUCCAUAUUUUACGCACUUUACGCAGCGAUUUUGGCCCUAAACCAAAAGAUGCAUGGAAUGGCAAAUGCUAUUCGUACAAAUGGGCGCUGGUUUCCGGUUUCCGGUGCCGCGAUAUGGACGAAAAUUUACGGCCUGCCGCCGUCGUAAGGGCCUUGUGAAGUACAUACGCGUACGAGUAUUUGCGGAACCUUCAAUUUCCUGGAUGCACGCACAAAAAUGCAGCAAAAGUACAGUUGCGCCCGGCAAAUACGAAGUACCAGGGUUUUUUGCCACCCACUCAAGGAUUUUCCACUUUUCCGCCAUCAUCGAUGGUUUUUAAUUCUAUAAGGCUAAAGUGCCGUGCGAACCUAAGCAUUAUUUUCCCAUCCCAGUCAGCUGAGUAAAACAAACUAGGACUCCCCAUUUGCAUUAGCAAACAGGACGAUGCAAACAGGACAUCCUUCCUGGGCGCCGGCUGACUCAAAUCGAAUUAAAACAAACAGUUUUAGUUGAUUUUUUUCGCAUCAAUUUCAUGGAGGCAGCAGGACAGCAACCGCAAUAGACAGCCCGAAGCCACAGGAGCGGAGACUAAUCUAAAUAAGCUUAAUAAUUACCUGAAUAAAAAGGCGAAACAAAACGAUGGGGAAAAACGGAUAGACUGAAUCGGUUUGAAUCGCAGCCACAUACUAUAGUUCCCAGCAAACAUUGCUGGCAGCCCAUUUAAAAUGCGUUUGUGUAAUUGAUGAUGUACAAAAGUCGCAUUGGCGGCCCGGCGAUGAUGCCUCAUUAAAAUGCACUUAAUUAAAAUGCAAUGGCAAAAUCAACAGCAACAGCAAUAGCAACAGCAACUGCAACUGCAACGGCGACUGGUGGAGAAGAAGACGAAAUCCAGUUUGCUUUUCGAUAGAAAAAGUAGCAGACGAAAAACCCCAAGACAGGCCAAAGAAUCAAGCUGGCAGACGGCAAAACACCAAGAAUGAAGAGUGUCGCAUCUGAUGAAUAUGGAACUUGCAACUUGACUUUGACUUUGACUGUUGUGUCGCGUUGCGUUGCAUUGCGUUUUGUUGUGUUGUGCCUUUGCAACUAUUUCGUUGCGUUGCAGAAAUUGCUGCACGAAUCCAUCGGAGCCACAUCCACAGCCACAUCCCCAUCCCCAUCCACAUUCAGCUAACCGAACCAACCCAAGCUGGUCAGCAAAAAAUGUCAUAAAUAAAUUGCUUAGCAACAUUCACUGACGCGCCAAAUAAAAUCCCAUAAAUGAUCGAAUGCGAUUUUUAGUCUAUGCAGCAACGGCGGUGGCGACAAAAUGAAAAACCGAAGGAACAACAGCAACUUUAGAACAAACUAGCCAAA